rnacentral:rRNA from 1 species
UUUGAGGGGCUUGCUCCUCAAGUUAGUGGCGCACGGGUGAGUAACGCGUAGAUAAUCUGCCUGACGAUCUGGGAUAACACUUCGAAAGAGGUGCUAAUACCGGAUAAGCCCACGAAGUCCUAGGACUUUGCGGGAAAAGGGGGGGACCUUCGGGCCUUCUGUCAUCAGAUGAGUCUGCGUACCAUUAGCUAGUUGGUAGGGUAAUGGCCUACCAAGGCUACGAUGGUUAGCUGGUUUGAGAGAAUGAUCAGCCACACUGGAACUGAGACACGGUCCAGACUCCUACGGGAGGCAGCAGUGGGGAAUUUUGCGCAAUGGGCGAAAGCCUGACGCAGCAACGCCGCGUGAGUGAUGAAGGCUUUCGGGUCGUAAAGCUCUGUCGAGGGGAAAGAAGUGUAUUGUGGUUAAUACCCGCGAUACUGACGGUACCCCUAAAGGAAG